rnacentral:rRNA from 1 species
UGGCGUACGGGUGAGUAACACGUGGAUGAUCUACCCUUUAGUGGGGAAUAACGCUGGGAAACCGGCGCUAAUACCGCAUAAUCUCGAGAGAGGAAAGCAGCAAUGCGCUGAAGGAGGAGUCCGCGGCCGAUUAGCUAGUUGGCAGGGUAAAAGCCUACCAAGGCAUAGAUCGGUAGCCGGCCUGAGAGGGCACACGGCCACACUGGCACUGAAACACGGGCCAG